AUUUCCCAUAUUGUGUGUGACUUCUGGUGAGCUUAGGUAGUUCUACAUUAUAAUGUAAUUAUACUGUACUGCACAGUUUAUCAUAACCCAAAUUAUCUUUAUUUUUCAGUCCUGAGAAACGCUUUACAGCGAUUAUGUCCCUCAUGUCAUAUUAUCGUGAACAUUAAUCAACAUGUCUGCAAGUGUGGCUAUAGGCUUUUUGAUGUCAAACGUAAAGCUCAGCCGGAAAGCCAGGCUCAGGCAAAUAUCAAGAGAUCAGAAAAGAAAAAACAUAUACCUGUUGUACAUGAUGAGUUGCACAAAAGUGUGCAAGAUUUACAACACCAAAAGAAAUUGAAGGAGAUUGAAGAGGAGAUAACAAGGCUUCGAGCAAUUUAUGAUUCCCAAAAUAACAACCCAAAAAGGCGGACAAUUAUGUACACUGGCACUUCGUCUAGAAAAAGCAGAGCUUUAGGCACACCAUCAAAUCCUUUCCCUUACAGUCAUGAAGUAAUGAAGCCUCCAGUUUCUGUUGUAGACGUUAUACCCCAAAAUAUCAAUG